rnacentral:lncRNA from 1 species
CUAGUAUAACUGCCAAUCCGAUAAGCUGGGUAAUUAACCAAGACUGCUUAACUAACCUUUAAAAUAGUAACUAUAACGGAAACUAUUAACUAGGAAAGUCGUAACGUUUGUUAAGCAACUUCGAAUUGCUUCAUCUAUGCUUAGAUAACUGCCCUGUUAAAUAUUUUUCCAGCUUUUUUCUAGAGUGCGCGAAAUUAAAAAGUAUACUUGGCGCAAGUUAGCUGAAACACCCUGUAUACAGCACAAGGGGC